ACAAACUUGGUCAUUUAGAGGAAGUAAAAGUCGUAACAAGGUUUCCGUAGGUGAACCUGCGGAAGGAUCAUUAACGAACCGAAAAAAGCGCACCCCUCGGCUGAUGCUGGCCCCUCGGGGCAUGUGCACGCCUCGGUGUGCCUUCCGUUCGCUUCGCUUCUUCCCUCUCCCCCCUUGUGCACUCCAUGUAGGUUGCCCGUGGUGGGUGGGCAUCCGCCUCGGCUCCUACGAUUUUCGUCUCCGUACGCACCCCGAUCGCAUGUGUUGGUGUAGCCUUUCUUUUCUUACGCUGAUGCGUAGCACGAAAUACAACUUUCAACAACGGAUCUCUUGGCUCUCGCAUCGAUGAAGAACGCAGC
rnacentral:misc_RNA from 1 species